GACGAAGGAUGCAAGCGUUAUCCGGAUUCACUGGGUUUAAAGGGUGCGUAGGUGGGAAUGUAAGUCAGUGGUGAAAUCUCUGAGCUUAACUCAGAAACUGCCAUUGAUACUAUGUUUCUUGAAUUUUUCUGGAGGUCAGCGGAAUAAUGUCAUGUAGCGGUGAAAAUGCUUAGAUAUGACAUAGAAACACCAAUUGCGAAGGCAGCUGGCUACAGGGAUAUUGACACUGAGGCACGAAAAGCGUGGGGAUCAAACAGG
rnacentral:rRNA from 1 species